rnacentral:rRNA from 1 species
CAGCGCCACAAGUGGGGGUCAUAAUUAUUGGGCCUAAAGCGUCCGUAGCUGGUUAGAUAAAUCUCUUGUGAAAUCGUGGAGCUUAACUUCACGGCGUGCAGGAGACACUAUUUGACUUGGAACCGGGAGGAGUAAGAGGUAUUCUGGGGGGAGCGGUAAAAUGCUAUAAUCCCUGGAGGACCACCGAUAGCGAAGGCAUCUUACUAGAACGGAUUCGACAGUGAGGGACGAAAGCCAGGGGAGCGAACCGGAUUAGAUACCCGAGUAGUCC